rnacentral:rRNA from 1 species
UACGGAGGGUGCGAGCGUUGUCCGGAAUCACUGGGCGUAAAGGGCGCGUAGGCGGCCUGAUAAGGUAGGGGGUGAAAUCUUGCGGCUUAACCGCAAGGCUGCCUUCUAAACUGUCGGGCUAGAGCACAGUAGAGGCAGGUGGAAUUCCCGGUGUAGUGGUGAAAUGCGCAGAUAUCAGGAGGAACACCGGUGGCGAAGGCGGGCUCCUGGGCCGAUUACUCUGAGGGACGAAAAGCUGGGGGAGCAAACGGG